GCUGGGUGACGUCAUACAUGCGACGCGGACGCCGCCAAACAGCUGGAGAUUUAAAAGACUCCGUUUCCACCUUUGUCCUUGUAGAUAUUACUGCGCACGCUCCAAACGUUCCCAGACGGCUAAUGUCCCCAAGAAUAUUUUGAGUCUACACUUCAGAAGGUGAAGGAUCAUAUUGUCCAAGAACAACAUGGAUUUAACAUAUAACCUGUCAUUUGAUGAGGCAUGUUGGCCAACAAUGAUAAUAUGGGAGAGAAUUAACCAAGCAUACACUUCAGAUUCUCCACCGAAGGAUUGGGGGCUUCAAAAAGGGGACUAUGGAUACCAAUGUUGGACUCUUAACUCUCAUAAUGAAAGUUAUAUUGUGGUCUGGGACACUGAUUGCUCCUACUGGAAGGUGAAAACUCCAUUUGGAUUAUGUUUACAUUUUAUUGGACCUCUUUUUAUUGACAAAUCGAAGAAGGGUUUGUCCGUACCACCAAUAUUCACUGUCAUUAAAUCUGAUACAAAUGUCUUACUGCCUGCCCAAGAGUUUAAAGUGAUCGAGCAGAUGAGAAAAAUUGUCAGUUUUGUUAAUAAAAAAG